GGGGGCUGUGGGCCUUGGCGUGAGGGGGAAGAGGCUGCCGGCUCGGUGUGGGGAGGGCUCACUGGCCCUGUGCCCCUGUCCAGACUGGGGACAGCCGGCAGGAAUGGUGGGUUACGACCCCGAGGCCAAGUGCGUGUCCACGGCGGAGGCGGCUGCAGCGGGGUCAGCGUCUGGCUUGGUGACUCGGGUCCUUGUCAGCCCCUUGGAUGUCCUCAAGAUCCGCUUUCAGCUUCAGAUCGAGCAGCUUUCCUCCAGAAACCCCACAGCCAAGUACCACGGCAUCCUGCAAGCUGUGCAGCGCAUCUUCAGGGAGGAGGGCUUGACAGCCUUCUGGAAGGGCCAUGUUCCUGCUCAGUUCCUCUCUGUUGGCUUCGGAGCUGUUCAGUUCAUGGCAUUUGAGAGCCUGACAGAAAUGGUGCACAACGUCACCUCCUUCAACACCCGCGACUCCUUCGUGCACCUGGUGUGCGGGGGCCUGGCUGCCUGCACGGCCACGGUCGCAGUCCAGCCCGUGGACACGCUGCGCACUCGCUUCGCUGCUCAGGGGGAGCCAAAGAUCUACCCCAACCUUCGCCAUGCAGUGAUGACCAUGUACCAGACAGAAGGRCCUCGGACUUUUUACAGAGGUUUAACCCCCACACUCGUUGCUAUCUUCCCAUAUGCUGGUCUCCAGUUCUUCUUCUACAACAUCCUGCAGCAGUUUUCCAAAUGGGUGAUUCCAGCUGAAGGAACGAACGGAGGCAAUGUUAAAAACCUUGUUUGUGGCAGCUGUGCUGGAGUCAUCAGCAAAACCCUCACGUACCCUUUGGAUCUGGUCAAAAAGCGACUGCAAGUGGGUGGCUUUGAGCACGCUCGGGCAGCCUUUGGGCAGGUACGGACAUACRGAGGUUUCUUGGACUGUAUGAGGCAGAUCAUGCGAGAGGAAGGCCCAGGUGGGUUCUUCAAGGGSCUCUCUCCCAGCGUGCUGAAGGCUGCCUGCUCCACCGGCCUUGUCUUCUUUUGGUACGAGCUGUUCUGCAGCCUCCUGUGYGCCCUGAAGGACCCCGAGAGCACAGGGAGGAAGGAAGGCUGAAAAGGACGUGUGUGGCUGCCUGCUGUYCUCCUCAGGAGGGGAGACUGAUGGCCCUGCUCUGGCACGAGCGUGUUGGAAACAGCAGAGCUCCCAGAGCUGCCCCAGCCUGCRGGGAAUCACCUCCUGGGACCAAGGAGAAGGAAACUGCAGUUCUGCUGGAGACACUGAGCUGCUUGGCUGGAAGCUGUUCAACAGAGCGCUUUUCUUCUGUCUCCUCUCAUAUCAGUGCGCAUUUAGUGGGGAGAGGGGAACCAACAGACCACUUGUAGCAAUGCCUGUGCUCUGACAAGGCACCCAGUAAAGAGGGUGAAUCCCUGAGCUUGCCCUGGAUCCCAGAGAGGGGAUCCUGGCCCAGCCUAGUGCUGUUUAACCAACCAAACACCACUUCUAGCACUGCAUCUGCACAGCUUUAUUCCCUUGCUCUGUGCCUGCUGUUGGCACCAGAUUCUUAUCUCUGUGUUCUACAGGUCRCUCUGUCCUGCUGAUGUGAAGUCAAGUAAAGCCACGUUAGUGCACAGACCCUCAGUUUUCCUUUGCUUUGCUGCCAGCUGCUGCUCCUUGGUCACCACUUGCUGGCUGUGCAUUCUGUCAUCUUAAACACAGCAUUUUCUCUGAUCGUGCUGGACCAGAUUUGUUCUUCCCUUAACUCCAGUGAGCUUGAUCRUAUCUUGAAUUCCUAUUUCUCUUCCUGGGUGUUGGGCCAUACAUCUCUUAGGGGUUUGCAUUGCCUCACUCACACUUUUUCCAAGCAAACCUGCAGAUUAAGMGCCCCACUCUGAGGGGAUUCAACGCACAAACCCAGUUAUUACUUCAGGGUUCUUUUCUUUAMAGCAGUGAGCAAACAAAUGCUGUAUAGAGUUAAGAAAUAUUUAGUCUAAGUUGAAAUAAUGAGGGGAAAGUCCUGUGGAAACUAAUAAUUUUUUAAUUAUUAUUUAUUGAAUAGCACCUUUGAAUAUGUAUAGCACAUCUUUCUAUAGUGGCCUCAAAACAUUUCAGAACCUCAGUCGUACAGUGGUGCCAGCAGAUGAAAAUGUUUUGACAAGAUUUGCUGAAGUGAAAGGAAUGAACAUCAAAUGGGAAUUGGUUGGCUGAGCGUGUUGCUUCACAUGGGUGAUUGAAUUAGAGAUGGAGGAGUGUUUUUCUGGAGUUUCGAAGGUUUUAUGAGUGGUUGAAAAACCCAGCGAAACAAUCUACCAACAACUCUGAUUUAUGUAACAGUGGAAAAGAGGAAAAUUACUUUCUUCCUCCUGKUUUUUUCUGUGUUUUUUCAAGCCAAGUAGGGUGUGGUUGGACUGUGUGGAAGGCAGAAUUCCCAGCCCUGCCGUACAAAAGCACGUUAGUCAUCUGAAGGGUGGAUAGGGCAGAGCACUGCAGUUAUUUGRAGGGUGGUUUGAUGGUUCUUCUCUUAACACAGAGCUUUUCCCAUUUCUUUUGCAGUAUUCAGGGUGUUAAUCCCAAAUGGUCUGGCCAAAUUCCAGCCUGACCAAUUCCAUUCCAUUGACGCAACUUCUCCUGGCGAUUUUGAGCAUAUCAGCAUUGCUGACUUAUCCUGAGCUAUUGUGAGAGGCUGUUUUUAAAGAACAGCUGUUUCACUGGUGGCUGAGGUAUCUGGAGAAAUUCCUUGCAAGCCCAGGCCAAAUAACUUYGUGUCUGCUGUGCAUUUGAGAUCUUGGAGUGCAAAGUGGCCAUUUCACUGCAGGUGGCUGAGAGCUGCGUAAAAUUAAGUUCAUUGAGCAGUGUCUGUGUCAGGCAGGAGCCCAAUAUGUGAGUCUUAAAGAGGGAGUGUGAGCUGCAUAUUCUCUAAAAACGGUAGUUCUGUUUAGAGGAGACAAUGCAGGAAAUGUGGAAUGAAGUUUCUUCAAGUGCCUCAGUCCUAUUGGCAUUUUCCUGUGUUAUUUAGGGUCUUCUGAGGUUCCUCAAAAUCUUGACAAUGUUUAGCCUUUGUUUAUUGUUCACCUGUUGUUCUUGGAAAGACAUCAUAAGGAGUAAUGAACUCAACCUCAUUACAUCCUUCUGAGGGAGAGAAAUGUCUCCUUUCAAAACAGACACAAACGAGUUGGGUUUGUUAUUGUCUUUUGUUGCUGGUGAGAGGAAUGGCGUCAUGAUUAGCAGGGRCAGGCCACAGCAGAAAAUGUUCAGUGCUGACCUAGGCUUCCUUAGGAAAUGGGGACUCAUCCAUCCUGUCUAAACAUUGCAAGACUUGUUUUCCACUUUAUGUCAAAGAGCUGCUGUUAAACUGCACAAAAUAGGGGCAAACUGGAUGAGAACUGAGCCGUAAGAAAGAACAGGAAGGUCUGUGCUCUGCUAAGGUGGUGUUCCUUGAGUGUAUUAUGGAGUUUGGGGUGAUCCAGGCAUGGCAGCCUGGCCCAUGGAGAGUAUGGGGCAGCUUUUCCUCUCUGGAGUAGUUUUCCCCUCCAUUCUGUAUUAAGUUUGUCUCCACCCAACAGAUGGCAAAGCUGGAGUUUAAGUUGUGCCUGUCUGGCCAGGCUGUAGAAGAGACACUCCCUGGUCAGAGAGAGAGCUUUGGGCUGUGAGUCACAAAUGUUGCAGGCCCGUAAAGGCAUCUGGGCUUCCAUGAGGGGGAGAAAGACAUGACAACCUCAACAAUAUCAGGAGCUGUAUCCAGCAGUUGCUUCAUCUCUCAGCUCUGAUCAGCAGCAUCUGUCCCUCAUAGAUUCCUCAUGUGCGCUUUGCUGGGGAAAGGACCAUAAGAGGAAUGAAUGUUGUUUUCYCUUUGGGAUUGAGGCUGAAUGAAGCACUAGGAGGACAGGUCUUAUUUCUCCUGCUGCUYUGGCAAAACACACUAUUAGGAGCUAAAUUUCUUAGAAUUAGAGAGCAGGAGAUGGGAGAGAUCCGUGUCACCUUGUUUUCCCAUGUGCUGGGACAGAUUUCCUCUUGGAAGCUGCGUGCUCCCGUUCAGUGUGAAGUGACUCGAGGCGGCGAGUGCCUCGCUGUGAGACUUGGCCGAUUUUGGCCGCUGGGAUUUCUUUCCAAGCUAAUCCUAUCACCAGGGAUUUGCCUGCAGUUCACCUCACAAGCUGCUCAGCAGUUACGUUUGUUUUCUUCCAGUGCCUUUUACCAYCAGAACGUCCAAAAGCUCCUUAGCAGGCAGAGCACUGGCGAGGAGUUGUGCCGUGGUUGUUUGUGGUUUCACCAUGGCACUGACCGGACUCRGACAUGCAAGAUCUGUGAGGACAACGCUGUUUCCUGCAGUGCUGACUGGCUCACCGAGUUCCUAGGACAGUCCUGUUCUCAGGRUGCCCAUCCAGAGUUGCACAGCAUCAUUUUUGACAACAAAUGAAUGUUUUACAGUCAGAACUGGAAUGGAUCGUAUUUAAUUAGGAUUUAAGUUUCUCUUGUGAUGUAGAAACUGUAACUGUGGCAUUUUGCUGUGUUGUCUGAGUGGAUCUUUUGCAGCUGCUGUUUUCUGAAAGCAUCCGAGCACAACAUACGCAGUGGGUGCCUACCUUUGAGACAAGCCUGCCCUGACCCCGAGGGGAGGGCGGAUUCACGCCGUUGUCACCCGGAAAGCGCCGGGAGAGCCCCGUGGGGGACCGGGACAGAGAGGGACUGUCACUAACUCAUCAUUGCCCUAACUCUCGCCCUCGGAGGACACCAGUCAUGGGGG